rnacentral:rRNA from 1 species
CGAAAGCCUGACGGAGCAAUACCGCGUGAGGGAGGAAUGCCUUUGGGUUGUAAACCUCUUUUCUCAGGGAAGAAGAUCUGACGGUACCUGAGGAAUAAGUAUCGGCUAACUCCGUGCCAGCAGCCGCGGUAAUACGGAGGAUGCAAGCGUUAUCCGGAAUCAUUGGGCGUAAAGCGUCCGCAGGUGGUUUCCAAAGUCUGCUGUUAAAGACUGGAGCUCAACUCCGGAACGCCGGUGGAAACUUGGAAACUAGAGUUCGGUAGGGGUAGCAGGAAUUCCCAGUGUAGCGGUGAAAUGCGUAGAUAUUGGGAAGAACAUCGGUGGCGAAGGCGUGCUACUGGACCGCAACUGACACUCAGGGACGAAAGCUAGGGUAGCGAAAGGGAUUAGAUACCCCUGUAGUCCUAGCCGUAAACGAUG